rnacentral:rRNA from 1 species
GACGAACGCUGGCGGCGUGCUUAACACAUGCAAGUCGAACGGAGUGGCGAACGGGUGAGUAACACGUGGGUGAUCUGCCUUGCACUUCGGGAUAAGCUUGGGAAACUGGGUCUAAUACCGGAUAGUGCAAGAUGAGCUCGCGGCCUAUCGGCUUGUUGGUGGGGUGAUGGCCUACCAAGGCGUCGACGGGUAGCCGGCCUGGGAGGGUGGACGGCCACAUGGGGACUGAGAGACGGCCCAGUGGCCUACGGUAGGCAGCAGGGGGGAAUAUGGCACAAUGGGCGGGAGCGUGAGGCAGCGACGCCGCGUGGGGGAUGAAGGCCUUCGGGUGGUAAACUCCUUUCGACAGGGACGCGGUACCUGUAUAAGAAGCACCGGCUAACUACGUGCCAGCAGCAGCGGUAAUAC